rnacentral:rRNA from 1 species
UACGGAGGAUGCGAGCGUUAUCCGGAUUUAUUGGGUUUAAAGGGUGCGUAGGCGGCCGAGUAAGUCAGCGGUGAAAUUUUGCAGCUUAACUGUAACAGUGCCGUUGAUACUGCAUGGCUAGGAUUUGGUUGCUGUGGGUGGAAUGUGUGGUGUAGCGGUGAAAUGCUUAGAUAUCACACAGAAUAUCGAUUGCGAAGGCAGCUCACAAAGCCAAGAUUGACGCUGAGGCACGAAAGUGUGGGGACCAAACA